AUUGAACGCUGGCGGCAUGCCUUACACAUGCAAGUCGAACGGUAACAGGUCUUCGGAUGCUGACGAGUGGCGAACGGGUGAGUAUACAUCGGAACGUGCCCAGACGUGGGGGAUAACGAGGCGAAAGCUUUGCUAAUACCGCAUACGAUCUAAGGAUGAAAGCAGGGGACCGCAAGGCCUUGUGCGUUUGGAGCGGCCGAUGGCAGAUUAGGUAGUUGGUGGGAUAAAAGCUUACCAAGCCGACGAUCUGUAGCUGGUCUGAGAGGACGACCAGCCACACUGGGACUGAGACACGGCCCAGACUCCUACGGGAGGCAGCAGUGGGGAAUUUUGGACAAUGGGCGAAAGCCUGAUCCAGCAAUGCCGCGUGCAGGAUGAAGGCCUUCGGGUUGUAAACUGCUUUUGUACGGAACGAAAAGGCUCUGGCUAAUACCUGGGGCGCAUGACGGUACCGUAAGAAUAAGCACCGGCUAACUACGUG
rnacentral:rRNA from 1 species